GUUUAUUUGUCCUUGAGAUGUCUUCUGAUCUGAAGGUGGUACUGGCCUCGAAUUUCAAUCUGAAUGAUGUUUGAUGAAGGAUAGUAUUUUCUAAAGUUGGAGCAAAUUAAAUUCUUUAUAUUUUUUAAUCAAAGAGUCUUUAGCUAUAACAUAUGACUAAUAUAAAACAAAGACUGUGAAUCAUAGGUUUAUAGGAUUUCUAUUAGCCGUCUCACUCAACAAUGUUCUUAUUACUAAAAUGCAUACUAAUAAUUUUCGCAUGGAGUUAAUCUGGAUUCAAAUCUAUUUUUACCAAUAUGAAAAUAAACUCAAGUUUUUAUUUCAAAUUUCUGAACUUUGUGGUCAUGUUAUUGAUUGCUAAU
rnacentral:misc_RNA from 1 species